GUCCCUUAAAAUUGUCCUAUAUGCUGUGGCUGCUGCUUUGUAUAUUCCUAUGACUAAGUCUGAAAUUGAAAUAUUCUCCAGCACAGUAGUUUUGACCCUUGGGUGCAUAUUGGAAUCAUCUGAGCAGCUUUAAACAUACUGAUGCCUAAGUCUGGACCACAGAGACUCUGAUGAAGUUAGUCCACCUGGGGUGCAGACUGAGCACUGAGAUUUUUCGAAACUCUCCAAGUGAUUCUAAUAUGUGACCAAGAUUGAAAAACUCUGCCUUGGCAAUUGGCUCUGACAGGAAGGACUUCCACUGACAGGGGCACGAUGGGAUGCAAUCAUCAGGCUGUAUGAAGUUGGAGAGAGCCUAUUUCAAAGAUACCAAAGAUGAAAGGUUUACACACACACUGCACACAUAAACACACACACACACACAAAAGAUAUAUAUAUAUGUAUAUAUAUAUAUUUUUUCUUUGCACAUCUUCCGAGAGUAGGAUUUUGUGCUCAGCAUUGAGGAAUCAAAGAAGUACAAUUCCAUCAUCCCAGUCAACAAACUCGAAUUGUUGGGAACAUCUUCCCUUGGAUUUCGGGAAAUUUUGUUCGUCACCGACUGGGUUAGAUAAACAUAGUCUUAACACCUAGUGGAGGUAAAGACAGAUAGAUACAUAGUUAAGAAUCACCCGAGACUGUGUGGCAAAGGGCAUGUGACACAGUUACAAAGGAAAUGCCAUGGAAGUGGUUACUUAUGGCAGAGGAAGCUUUCUUGGAUGAGGUGGCUUUUGAGUUGAACCUUAAGGAACUGUUGCAUUUUGACAGUUGGAGAAUUAGGAGAGGACUUCUAGGUUGACCAAAGGCAAGCAGCCUUCAAAGAGCAGGGCCAUUUGGAGACUAGCACAUGUUUGCUCAGACACAGUAGAAAUAGGGGAUAGUGUGUGAGGAUGGGAAGCUGGAAAAGUCAGUGGAGGAUAGAUUAUAGAGACAUUGAACUUGAUGCUAUGAAGGUGGGGUUUAAUUCCACAGGCAAUGUGGAUCCAUCUAUCUUUGUAAGUCCAUAAGUGCUGUGAUGAGAUGGAUGUUUCUGGAGAAUGAUAACUUCAGGGUUGGUGUCAAAAAAAGUUGGAGAUGAAGAAGCUGAAACCAAAAGGGAUGAGUAGGGAGUAGGGAGACAAGUGCCAUCACUGGAACCAGAGAGGAUGGCCACAUUUCUAGGACAGUGGCAAGAGAAAUGGGAAAGAAGGGAGUGCUCAUGUAGGAGAGGCAUUUCUGUGGCGGCACAGAUAGAAAUUUAUAACACAACAGAUGGUUGUGGAAGGUAAGUUAGAAGGUGAAAUUGGUGAUGACCCUGCAGUUUCUACCUUGGGUGGUUGAGCCUCCAGAAGUGCACAGCUUUUAAGUUGUAGGUGACUGGGGCUUUUCGAGGUUCCACAGGUUUCAGACAAGCAUCAUGAAAACACGUCUGCUCCAUUCAUCACUAUGUGCCUGGUCCAUCGUAGGCACAUGUAUUUGUUAAAACAAACAGGUAUUUGUAAAAUAAAUAAAUGCAACUCUCUGAGAAGGGAGUACCUGAGACUGAACAAGUUUUCUGAGGAGGAAGAUAGGGUGUUUCGUUUUUGCUCUGUUGAAUUUGGAUUCUAAUAAGGCAGCAGGUGGUUGGAAUUGCAAAUCUGAGAUUUAAGGGAAAGGCCAGGAGUGAACAUGAUGAGAUUGUCCUCAAGGGGCUAAACAUUUAAUCAGGGAUUCAAGAUGUAUGCAUGAGAAAGUAGCUAAAGAUAAAAUUAGCAGUGUCAGAGGGUGGUCCAGCCACUGUGUGCUAUAGGAGUUCAGAGGAGGAAGCAUUUGUGAUACAGAAAGCCCCAUCCUAGACCACUUCAAGGAGUAGCUACUAAGGCAGGGUUUCUAAGGAUGAAUAUGAAAAUCUAGGAAGAAAGGGAAGAAAUUCCAGGUUGAAGGAAGAAUGUGAACAAAGAUAUAGGAACAGGAAUACAUAGGGGAGUUUCCUAGAUCCUUCCCACUCGAGG
rnacentral:lncRNA from 10 species